GAUGAACGCUGGCGGCGUGCCUAAUACAUGCAAGUCGAGCGAACGGACGAGAAGCUUGCUUCUCUGAUGUAAGCGGCGGACGGGUGAGUAACACGUGGAUAACCUACCUAUAAGACUGGGAUAACUUCGGGAAACCGGAGCUAAUACCGGAUAAUAUUUUGAACCGCAUGGUUCAAAAGUGAAAGACGGUCUUGCUGUCACUUAUAGAUGGAUCCGCGCUGCAUUAGCUAGUUGGUAAGGUAACGGCUUACCAAGGCAACGAUGCAUAGCCGACCUGAGAGGGAGGUCGGCCACACUGGAACAGAGACACGGUCCAGACUCCUACGGGAGGCAGCAGUAGGGAAUCUUCCGCAAUGGGCGAAAGCCUGACGGAGCAACGCCGCGUGAGUGAUGAAGGUCUUCGGAUCGUAAAACUCUGUUAUUAGGGAAGAACAUAUGUGUAAGUAACUGUGCACAUCUUGACGGUACCUAAUCAGAAAGCCACGGCUAACUACGUG
rnacentral:rRNA from 1 species